GAAUCAGUGAAGUUAAGUUGAAUGAGAUUGACUAGACUGACUAGGGCUAAAAAUGCCACGUUCCCACAUUCAGCUUUUGGUUAAUUUGUGUAGGCGAAUAUUUAUCAAGCAUAAAUGCCCUUAACAUGGCUCGGUAUUGUCACUGUGCCAUGCAAAAAGACUAGUCAUGUUCACAUCAGAUCAGCUUUUACACAAUAUCCGAGGCAGCAGUGACUUUGGGAGUUGUCACCAGGAAUAUUUCUGUAGAAUAUUCCAUGAGGCAAAAGCUACCAGCCAGGCAUGUUGGGGUGGUGGAGUUAUGAUGACAAAGGGGAUUUUUUUUCCCCUCCAGAGCCUCAAUCUUGAUACACGUUCAUCCUACACAGGGUCAUGGGGAGCUUGGAGUCUAUCCCAGGGAACUCAGGGCACAAGGCAAGGGACACCCUGGACAGAAGCAGGCCACUGCAGGGUAGAAUCACACACACAUUCACACACUACGGACAAUUUAGAAAUGCCAAUCAGCCUACAAUGCAACUUUGGACUGGGG
ensembl:lncRNA